rnacentral:rRNA from 1 species
AUUGAACGCUGGCGGCAGGCCUAACACAUGCAAGUCGAACGAGUGGCGGACGGGUGAGUAAUGUCUGGGAAACUGCCUGAUGGAGGGGGAUAACUACUGGAAACGGUAGCUAAUACCGCAUACCAUCGGAUGUGCCCAGAUGGGAUUAGCUAGUAGGUGGGGUAAAGGCUCAACUAGGCGACGAUCCCUAGCUGGUCUGAGAGGAUGACAAGCGACACUGGAACUGAGACACGGUCCAGACUCAUACGUGAGGAAGCAGUGGGAAAUAGUGAACAAGGGGCGCAAGCCUGAUGCAGCCAUGCCGAGUGUAUGAAGAAGGCCUUCGGGUUGUAAAGUACUUUCAGCGGGGAGGCGUUACCCGCAGAAGAAGCACCGGCUAACUCCGUGCCAGCAGCCGCGGUAAUAC